CACAAGCGCACAGCCACUGCUUGCUCCUCGUCAUCUCCCAACAGUUCAGUGGCGAGCAUCAGUUAUAUUUCAGAUGGUGUCAACAUCAUUAAAUUGUUAUGCAUUUUGGAGUAGAACGUCCUUUUAAAAAGUUACCAGAAGUGACCUUCUUACAGUUGUUCUACAAAACGUGUACAGCCUCAAAGAACCAGAAUGCCGUGGCUGGCCUCCAUGCCGAUCUUCCCACCGCCCUGCCCGCCUGAGCUCACCAGCUGUCCCGCCCCUCUCCGCAUGCAUGGACGGCUCGGGGCCUCCACCAUCCCGCCAAUCUACAGAACCCCUCUCCUCUCAUGCCUCUGAGGCAUGCAAAGGCAGGCCUCUAGUGCUGUUGGACAGGACCAUUUCCUGGCUACAGAAGAUCUGGGAGGGGUGGGGGGGUCCAGAAGCAGUCCGUAAACAUCCCGGACGCCAUGGCUCCACCGCUGCCGAGGGCCUUCCAUCUCUCUCUGUCCCCCCUCAAUCAUCCGUUCCAUUCUCAUUUUCCCACUGAAUCCACGUUCUCACAUCGGUUUCCUCAAUAAAUAUUCUAAGCCCAUUUCAUGGCCUGUCCUUAAACCCAUGAGUAUGUUUUAUUAUGAGCCAGUCGUAUCUAUAGCUAGGUUUCUGUCUAACUGUUGAUAUUUUCAUGCAAGUACUCCAAAAUCUACAUAAAAACAAUAAGCAUGUUCUGCUGCCAGAGAUAUUUCCAUCAAAUUGACUUGUUGCAGAUAAGGCUGUGCGUGAUGACGUAGUGCACAUAAAUACCUGUGUGCAGUUAAAUUCCCAUAUACCGAAUAAAAUGGGCUUCCAAUGCAUUUUCAACUCUACUCUGAAAAUGUGCCAUAGUGAGUGUGCCCACUCUGCUUCUGGCUCGGUAUUGACACGUGCAUUCCAUGCUGUUGGCAAGAGUGCAUGUAUAGCAUACAUGAUGAGAUUAUUAUAGAUGAAAGAGCAAUAUUUUUGUUUGUCAAACGACAGCCAAGCAUCGACGGUCAUGUCACCAGAAUAAGUCCCUCCAUUUUUUAUUGGAAAGGAGCGUCAAGCUCAUCACCUUGCACUUUCACCACCUUGGGAAGUUCCUAACUUGUUUCAUCUGUAGCCUAAUAAACUGCAUGCUUUCCCG
rnacentral:lncRNA from 1 species